rnacentral:misc_RNA from 1 species
GGGUUGGGUGGUGUUUCAAUUACUGUAAGUUUCUUUAUACUGGUUUACUGAACAAAUAAUCAGUUCAGGGUUAAGAAAUGUAAAAUAUAAUAUAUGCAAAUUUUUUUUUCUCCAUAAUGAGAUAGUGUGCAAUUAUAUAAUCAUUAUAUUAUUGAGAUUUUUUCCACAGAAGUAACUCUUAGUGGCUAUCAAUUAUUUGCGUACUUUGUAAAAAAGAGUGAAAAAAAGAAAAUAAAAGAGUAAAUUUU